CAUGCCAGGCCCAAAAUGGCCGCUGCAUGCAGUUACAGAGGCCCAAAGCCAUGGCAGUGAUUUCAGAGGCCGGCAGGGGGAGGGGACCCCCCGCGGCCUACAGGAAGCCCCCCAAAGGGGCUACAGGAAGGGUUAAUAUGGCCUGGAAAAACCUUGAUUUUGAAGAUACACUGGGUUCUGUGCUGACUGGCAAAAACUAAAAAAGGAGCAGCAUCUUCUGCUGAUGUAUUCAGAAAGCAAAGACUGGACAGAGCUGUUUUUAAAGCAAAUAAGAAUCUGAGCAACUUUUUAAAAGGCUGGGAACCCCAGCCACAGAGACAAGACUCUAGGAGUAUAAUAAUUGGUGUUUUCUGAAUAUUCAGGUAAUGCAGGUAUAAUUUUUGUAUGUCUUUUGGUACCUUUCAGUGUUUUGAAAAGAAACAUGAAGGAAAUCUUGAGCAGUCCAAUGGGCUCUCACCUGUUUGAUGACCUCUUUCUGUCCUAGUUUGGCUUUCCCUGAGGCACAGUUGUAAUGGCAAAGAUUUCCUCAAUGAACUCAGCACCUUCAACUUUCAACAUCGAUGACUGGGGAAACCAUUGAAAGUGAUACCAAUCUGCUUAAUGCUCUCCGGUGAGAGUGGAGCUGCUGAAUGAGCAGCACAUGGCCAGGAAAGCUGCCAAAUGUACAGGAAGAAAACUGUAGUAAAUAUAUGGCCUCUA